GCUCUCCGGCGGGCGGGAGGGGGGGAGGGUAGCAGGAAAGCAGGGAGGGGCCUGGGCGGAGAGAGAGAGAGAGAGGGGAGGGUUCAGUCUAGUGCGAGCGAGGGAGGGGAGGCUGGAGAAGCGGGAGACUCUCCCCGUGUGUGCGCUACGCUAACCAGGAAGGGACUCAUCGCACGCCCUGCUCGUCCUCCGGCUCCACCCCGCCCCCCGCCACAGAGCCGUGCUCCGGGGUUUGGAUGAGAGGGAGCUGUCAGAGCAGGUACCAGGCUACCAGGGGCAGGGAGCUGUAGCAGAGACAGAUACAGGAGAGAGAGAGAGAGAGAGAGAGAGAGAGAGAGAGAGAGAGAGAGAGAGAGAGAGAGAGAGAGAGAGAGGCAUGCACCUCCGAUGCGACCCAGUGCACUACUGCCACGCUGCCUUGCCUGUUUGACGAGAAGGAGCCGGCUGUCAGGAAUACUGUGCCUUGGAGGAGGAGGAGGAGGAGGACUGGAGGAGGAGACGGAGGAGGUGGACCGGAACGCUGUCUGCCAUGACUCGGAGGAGCAGGAGCCAGGAGGAGGCUCGCUGAGACCAUGGAGCAGACUUGGUGUGUGCGCCAGGAGAGGGCUGACUGAAGACGUGACGUCGGCGCGUUCUGACGUGGUCGUCAUGGCGAUCGGUAAGCCGCGGAAGAUGGCGGGCGGAGUUUUGAGCGGAGGAACGGCUGUCUGUCUGGGGGUCUCGGAGCGAUGCCACGGACAGGGUUGGGAUGAGUGUCGUCAUGGCGAGAGGAUCGGAGGCGGGGGAAGGCCGUGUGAAGGUGUGCACGCGUGUGUGUGUGUGUGUUUGUGUGUGCGUGUGUGUGCGUGGCCGGGAGUUGGUAUUCCGGUGUGUGCUUUAGCCUGUCGGAGGUAGUCUGCAGGGCUCCGUGAAGACGGACGGUUCCUUCCAGACGAUGUGGAACAAUGUGAUCAGCAGCAGCAGAGCCGUUGGUGGUGGUGGUGGACGAUCUCUCCUCCGUAUUCUUUGGAAAUCCUAACGCUGACUAACCGUCGUCAGCGC
ensembl:lncRNA